UCCAACUAAUAAAGCCAACGAGUAGACUUGUAAUUGCUAAAAGCCUGCACUAAAUGACAAAGAAGCGUGCGAGUUCACAGCGAGAUGGGAGACUGCAGUAACGGAACAAGAAAGUAAAAACUGACUUUUCCUUGUGCAAACGAGUUUGUGUUAAGCUUUUAAAUUUUCAAAGGAGUAUUUCAUGUGGGGAACAACUGCAUUUGAACAGCUGACUCAUGCAGACAGCAAAUACAGAGACGGACAAAUGUGUGCAAGUGUAAACAAAGCAAAAGCAAGAACAACUUCAAAUGGCAGCAGGCAGACAUUGUCAACGCCGCAUUAGUGCGUGACAGCGGCAACUGACAGCACGGAAUGAAUUCAACGAACGAGUUCCCCCUCCCCCGCAUAUUUCGCAGUCAAUAGUUGUUAGCAUUAGUAAAAUGUGUUUGUCCUUUGGAAGCAAACAAAAUGGUGUGGGAUAACAUUGAAAAUGGGGUUGUUGAAAUUGAAAUUGAAAAUUUUCUCUUCUCAAUAUGCGCAAGCAAAUAAGCACAGGAAAAUAAAUAUGCGGACUUAUCUAUAUACGUGUGUGUAUAUGUGUACUCGUCAGAAUUGAUAAACUGCAGAGAAAAUGCUGCCUAAUUUCCCAAGACGGACAACGACAGCAGUCACUGCUUAGUCAAUGAUAUAUACUAAAUUUCCAGCAACAAUGCGUAAUCGAAGAAAAUUGUAAAUGUAAAAUACAACAACAACGUUCACAAUAAGGCAAUGCACUCGCAGACGUGACUGUAACUUAUUGGUGUUGCCAUUGCCAAUAUGUUGUAUGGAAGAAAUCGGCUGUGGACGUGAGACUUAUGAGCGACAAUACGCUUGGAGGCGAUACUGUGGUUUCAACAAGUUUCGAGUACAAUAAUUUGAAUUUGAAAACUGCGAUAAUGAAUUUGGUGGAAGAAAAAGAUUUUCUUAGAUAGUCAGUGAUCACAAAGAAUAUACGAAGUGUGUUCAAUAAAUAACGAUAAUUUUCGUGUUUUGAAAAAUA